rnacentral:tRNA from 1 species
GCCCUCGUAGCCCAGCGGUAGAGGCAGCGGUCUGAGGGGCCGUCCAGGGUGCGUUCGAAUCGCACCGAGGGCA